GAAAAACCAACAACAUGAAGGUACACUAGAGCAAGAAGUUCAAGGAAAAAAAGAAUGGAAUUCAGAAAUAUCAAGAAAAACUACAAGUUAUAUAACAAAGUGAAGUCUCAUAGAGUUGAGCAUUAUGAAGAACAAUACCACAAAAUGCCAAAUACGCAGCAAAGUCCUAGAAAACAGGGUGGUAUCCUGCAUUCUGCCAGGUGCUGGCCUGCAAAGCACAGGCUUACUCUGGACAGUGUUGUUGGAUUUGGAUUCUAUUAAACCAGGAUCAGGCUUGUUCCAGCACUGCCUGCACUUAUAACAGGUCCACGUCUCUACAGCCUGAUCAUAAAAGGAUGGCACACUAACCCACGGAGGUAAAAACUCUGUCUCAGAGGACUCAAGGGAACAAAAAUUCUUAAGGUUAGUGUCCUUAAAAAAA